GACGAACGCUGGCGGCGUGCCUAACACAUGCAAGUCGAACGGAAAGGCCCCGCUUUUGUUGGGCUCUCGAGUGGGGAAAGGGGGAGUGACACGUGAGGAACCCCUCCCUGUAUUUGGGGUAAAUUCUGGAAAAUGGGGCUCAUAUCCGAUAGGAGCUCCUGCUGCGCGGGGGGGGUUGGAAAGUUUCGGCGGUUGGGGAUGGGCUCGCGGCUUAUCCGCUUGUUGGUGGGGUAGUGGCUUUCCAAGGCUUUGACGGGUAGCCGGCCUGAGAGGGUGACCGGCCACAUUGGGACUGAGAUACGGCCCAGACUCCUACGGGAGGCAGCAGUGGGGAAUAUUGCACAAUGGGCGGAAGCCUGAUGCAGCAACGCCGCGUGCGGGAUGACGGCCUUCGGGUUGUAAACCGCUUUCGCCUGUGACGAAGCGUGAGUGACGGUAAUGGGUAAAGAAGCACCGGCUAACUACGUG
rnacentral:rRNA from 1 species